GACGAACGCUGGCGGCGUGCUUAACACAUGCAAGUCGAACGGAAAGGCCCUGCUUUUGUGGGGUGCUCGAGUGGCGACCGGGUGAGUAACACGUGAGUAACCUGCCCUUGACUUUGGGAUAACUUCAGGAAACUGGGGCUAAUACCGGAUAGGAGCUCCUGCUGCAUGGUGGGGGUUGGAAAGUUUCGGCGGUGGGGGAUGGACUCGCGGCUUAUCAGCUUGUUGGUGGGGUAGUGGCUUACCAAGGCUUUGACGGGUAGCCGGCCUGAGAGGGUGACCGGCCACAUUGGGACUGAGAUACGGCCCAGACUCCUACGGGAGGCAGCAGUGGGGAAUAUUGCACAAUGGGCGGAAGCCUGAUGCAGCAACGCCGCGUGCGGGAUGACGGCCUUCGGGUUGUAAACCGCUUUCGCCUGUGACGAAGCGUGAGUGACGGUAAUGGGUAAAGAAGCACCGGCUAACUACGUGCCAGCCGCCGCGGUAAUAC
rnacentral:rRNA from 1 species